AUUGCCUUAGUAACGGCGAGUGAAGCGGCAAAAGCUCAGAUUUGAAAUCUGGCGUCAUUUUGGCGUCCGAGUUGUAAUCUGUAGAGGAGUAUUCGAGUGUAGCUUUGGCUUAAGUUCCUUGGAACAGGGCGUCAUAGAGGGUGAGAACCCCGUUAACGGCCUUAGUCUUAUGCUCAUGUGAAUCUCCUUCAACGAGUCGAGUUGUUUGGGAAUGCAGCUCUAAAUGGGUGGUAAAUUCCAUCUAAAGCUAAAUACUGGCAAGAGACCGAUAGCGCACAAGUAGAGUGAUCGAAAGAUGAAAAGAACUCUGAACAGAGAGUUAAAUAGUACGUGAAAUUGUUGAAAGGGAAGCACUUGCGACCAGACACACUUGCAAUUGAUCAACCUCCAUUUUUGGUGGUGCACUCGGUUGUAGGUGGGUCAGCAUCAGUUACGGCGGUGGGAAAAAGACCAAGGGAAUGUGGCUCUCUUCGGGGAGUGUUAUAGCCCUUGGUGUAAUGCCGCCAGCUGUGACUGAGGACCGCGCUU
rnacentral:rRNA from 1 species